rnacentral:lncRNA from 13 species
UCUCUAUCACCCCGACUAGCUUUGCUUUUGGGUGGGAAACAGGGCCACACACAGCUCUGCACCCAUCUCUUUUAAGUUUCACCACUAGAGGAAAGGACCACCUUCUUUUGGUUCUCAUUCAAAGAAAGCAGUCCAGGAAAAUGAUUGUCUCCGAUUGGCUGAGCUUUGGGCUAUUGACCAUUCUUGGACCAAUCAGAAUACAGAAUUCUGCAACUGUCACCUAAAUUGAAUUCCUUUGGUAACUAAGUUUGUACACUGAAACAGAGCAAUCAUCCAAGAGGAUGAGAGAGGUCAUUGGAGAUAUAAGUAACAACAUGACCCCUUUUCUUCCCACUUUGUGGUUGACUUAACCAAGGGAGAUACUGAGAGAAUGCUGACUUCGUUCUCUUGCUUUUCCCAAGGAAGGCUGACAGGUCUACUUCCGGAUUUUCUCUUCUGUUUCACUGAGCUGUGUGUCUGUCCAUCUACUAGAAGAACCACACUGUCUUCACUACUACAAUGUAUGCUAGAACUUCUAGAACUAUACCGAGUGAGAGUGGAUAUCCAUGCCUUAUUCCUGAGCUUUGUGGAAGAAGAAUUCCAUUUGUCACCUUUAAGUAUGAUAUUAGCAGAAAGUUUCCUCCAUUUUUUAAAGACUACUGAAUAACCUUACAGUUCUAUGGUAAGGUUGUUCUAUAAUUGACUUUUCCAAUUCUUUAUAGAUGGGUUUUUGUUGCUUUCAUUCUUUUGUACAAUAACACUUUUAUGAAUGUGCUCAUACAUGUGUGACUUUUCAUAUGUUCAUGAAUAUAUGGGUAAGAUAAACUCCUAGAUAAAGAUAAACUCCUUCUCGGUUCUGUUUAUACCCACUUCCUAGGUGAUCUUUCUUGGUUUUGUGGUCAUAAAUGCCAUACAAUGGCAACGCCCAAAUAUGUGUUCUCAGCCUGAUUUCUGCCCUCACUUCUGAUCUGUGUAUUCAUUUUCUCACUGAAUAUCUCCAUUUGGACAUCUAACACACUUUCAAGGUGAACACAUCUAAAACUGAACUCCUA